GAGCCGCAGCGAAAGCGAGUCUGAAUAGGGCGUUUAGUACGUGGUCGUAGACCCGAAACCAGGUGAUCUACCCAUGUCCAGGGUGAAGUUCAGGUAACACUGAAUGGAGGCCCGAACCCACGCACGUUGAAAAGUGCGGGGAUGAGGUGUGGGUAGCGGAGAAAUUCCAAUCGAACCUGGAGAUAGCUGGUUCUCCCCGAAAUAGCUUUAGGGCUAGCCUUAAGUGUAAGAGUCUUGGAGGUAGAGCACUGAUUGAACUAGGGGUCCUCAUCGGAUUACCGAAUUCAGUCAAACUCCGAAUGCCAAUGACUUAUCCUUAGGAGUCAGACUGCGAGUGAUAAGAUCCGUAGUCAAGAGGGAAACAGCCCAGAUCGCCAGCUAAGGUCCCAAAGUGUGUAUUAAGUGGAAA
rnacentral:rRNA from 1 species